ACUCAGAGAAGGAUGAUUUUAGGACAGUGUAUUUUAUUGCUACUCAUUUCAUAUUCUUAUGGACAGUCCCUGACUUCCUCUGAUUCUGUGGUGAAGAGACCUGGACAGUCGGUCACUCUGUCCUGUACUGUCUCCGGAUUCUCAAUGGGCAGCUACUAUAUGCACUGGAUCCGUCAGAAACCAGGACAAGGACUUGAGUGGAUCGGGCUCAUUGAUGGUGGCACUGGCACUGCAUUCGCUCAGUCUCUACAGGGCCAAUUCUCCAUCAGUAAAGACACCAAUAAAAACAUGCUGUACCUAGAAGUGAAGAGUCUGAAAGCUGAAGACACGGCAGUUUAUUACUGUGCACGAGAGUCACACUGACACAACAGACUCCAGAGCUGUACAAAAACUUACAUAAGCACGUCAUCGUGAGCUGUAAAUAUUCCCUCAGCAGGAAGCUGCACCCCAGAGACCUUUAUUAUAAACAUCAUCUAUUCACACUCAGCACUCAGGUCUUCCUCUUUAUUCCAAUAUCUUCUAGCAGUUAUUAUUAAUAUUAAUAAUUACCCACGAUAUGUAUCACAUUAACAUUAUGACGUCUUUACGUAUUUGACUGAAGGUAAAUAAGCUCUAGGACAAUGAUUGUGAUGACUAGUUGGGACUAUAUACUGUACUAUUCAUGCUUUUAUUCCUCCUGAUUGUGAUGCCAGCUGCAGGAACACUACAGGUCGAUGGUUCACUUCCUGAAUUUAGACACACAGAGUCUGUUCAGCAGCACAGAAUCUGAUGAGAGAUCAAACUGAAAUGUAGAUGUUUACUGCAGCAUCACUACUACAAACUCCUGGAAUUAAAAAUCACCUGUAGGGGGCAGCAGCUGCUUGUUUUCAAGAAGGAUUCAUGAAACUAUGAAAUCUAACAGCUGAAGUGUGUUUUUGCAGGGCUGCCAACUCACGCAUUCAGCGUGAGAAUCACGCAAUUGACCCAAAUCUCACGCACUCACGCCACACCCCAGCAGUAAUAAGGAAAGCGCAUG